AUUCGCCCUUAGAGUUUGAUCCUGGCUCAGGACGAACGCUGGCGGCGUGCCUAACACAUGCAAGUCGAGCGAGUGAAUCUCCUUCGGGAGUGAAGCUAGCGGCGGACGGGUGAGUAACACGUGGGCAACCUGCCUCAUAGAGGGGAAUAGCCUUCCGAAAGGAAGAUUAAUACCGCAUAAGAUUGUAGCUUCGCAUGAAGUAGCAAUUAAAGGAGCAAUCCGCUAUGAGAUGGGCCCGCGGCGCAUUAGCUAGUUGGUGAGGUAACGGCUCACCAAGGCGACGAUGCGUAGCCGACCUGAGAGGGUGAUCGGCCACAUUGGGACUGAGACACGGCCCAGACUCCUACGGGAGGCAGCAGUGGGGAAUAUUGCACAAUGGGGGAAACCCUGAUGCAGCAACGCCGCGUGAGUGAUGACGGCCUUCGGGUUGUAAAGCUCUGUCUUCAGGGACGAUAAUGACGGUACCUGAGGAGGAAGCCACGGCUAACUACGUGCCAGCAGCCGCGGUAAUACGUAGGGGGCGAGCGUUAUCCGGAUUCAUUGGGCGUAAAGCGCGCGUAGGCGGCCCGGCAGGCCGGGGGUCGAAGCGGGGGGCUCAACCCCCCGAAGCCCCCGGAACCUCCGCGGCUUGGGUCCGGUAGGGGAGGGUGGAACACCCGGUGUAGCGGUGGAAUGCGCAGAUAUCGGGUGGAACACCGGUGGCGAAGGCGGCCCUCUGGGCCGAGACCGACGCUGAGGCGCGAAAGCUGGGGGAGCGAACAGGAUUAGAUACCCUGGUAGUCCCAGCCGUAAACGAUGAUUACUAGGUGUUGGAGGAUUGACCCCUUCAGUGCCGCAGUUAACACAAUAAGUAAUCCACCUGGGGAGUACGACCGCAAGGUUGAAACUCAAAGGAAUUGACGGGGGCCCGCACAAGCAGUGGAGUAUGUGGUUUAAUUCGACGCAACGCGAAGAGCCUUACCAAGUCUUGACAUCCCUUGACAGGCAUAGAAAUAUGUUUUCUCUUCGGAGCAAGGAGACAGGUGGUGCAUGGUUGUCGUCAGCUCGUGUCGUGAGAUGUUGGGUUAAGUCCCGCAACGAGCGCAACCCUUAUCUUCAGUUACUAACGCGUGAGGGUGAGGACUCUGAAGAGACUGCCGGGGACAACUCGGAGGAAGGUGGGGACGACGUCAAAUCAUCAUGCCCCUUAUGACCUGGGCUACACACGUGCUACAAUGGCCACGACAGAGAGAAGCGAAAUCGCAAGGUAGAGCGGAACUCAAAAAAGUGGUCCCAGUUCGGAUUGUGGGCUGCAACCCGCCCACAUGAAGUCGGAGUUGCUAGUAAUCGCGGAUCAGCAUGCCGCGGUGAAUACGUUCCCGGGCCUUGCACACACCGCCCGUCA
rnacentral:rRNA from 1 species